ensembl:lncRNA
GUUGACAUAGAGGAUCGGGACUAAAUGGAGACUGGUUCAGGAUCAGUUCAAACGUCUUCACACUCGCUUUAACAAAGCCAUCUGGAGUUAAAGUCCACUUUCACGCUCUGCUCAUUUUUGAUGCAAUCCAGUAGAAAUCUCCCAAAACAGGCAGGUGGGCGGAGCCUGAGUAGAUGGUGUGUGUCAAGAUGCUGGGUGACAUUUGGGACGUGGUCCCUGAAGAGCCCCCUACCUGCCAGCGGGGUCCGACCUGGAUGUGGACAGUGGUCUUCCGGUCCCAGAGGACGGUGACGUCUUCGUCGGGGAAAUGAACCACGGUGAAGAACCCGGCCGGCCACAAGAACAUCCUCUGCUUCCUGUCGAUCGCGCUCGAUGGAUUCUGCGAGAAAAAAACUUUUUAAAACGUGACAACAUUUUCCCGCCUUCUCAUUUCAAUCUAAAAAGCUGAUCUCACGGGUUCCCCCGAGUCUUCGUCGAAGGCCACGGAGGAUCCGCCCACAUUGACCACGAGGGACUUCCUGCAGACGACUCCGCCGUCGAAGCAGCCGACGUUCUCAGCCGUCACGCUGAGCAUCACGUCGCCGCUGCUCUGUGGAGGACAGGCCACGCCCCUUUCACUUCGCAGGAACGCAAAGGGCUAAAAAAAUGCCGUUUGACUUUACUUAAGUGCACACGGUGUGUGAGGGCCCGGACAGACGGCGCACAUUGGAGGACAUACCUUCACCAGGUGGACCUCGCAGGCGCCCACGUAGUCGAACAGCAGCCCGUCGAACGUCCCGUAGUGGCGGUCUCCGUAGGCCGAGCACAUGGCCGGGCACGCACGGAACGCACAGCGGAACGUCCCGUGCUGGCAGACGCUGCAGAGACAGCAGAGCCUCAGUGAUUCAGCAUCGACUUGUCGAGGCUAAUGGGGGGUCGGGGGGGUCGGGAACAGUCGCAGGCUGAUUCUGCCGCCAUUAGUCUGUCAUCUGGUUCGAGUUCUCCCUUUCAGCGGCCCGGAGCGAAGAGUCGCACAAGGGCCCGCUCUGUUUUUUUGUCUUUCUCUUUCUUUCUGGCCCUGUUGAUCGGGGAGAAUUAUGGAUAUCGGGUGGCCCCUUCCUGUCAAUCCCAGGAGAAAAAAUUAGCAUCGCUGAUGGAGAUUUGUCCUGUUUCUGACGGACAGUGUGUGAAACACUCAGGGGUAAUAAAGGCUGGGGGGGGGGGCAAAAUGGGUCCAUUAAGGGGUCGUGGACCCCCCAAUACUUUGUAAACUCUUGACAGAUAUUUUUGACUGGUGGCUCGACGAUCAGGUCUUUGCGGCCGCGUGCGAGUGAGUAAAUGUGUUGCCGCGGUAACGGCGGAGGGUUAGCAACAAAACCACGUAGCGAAAUACGGUUUUCUGUUAACAUCCGAAGAAGGAGAGGAAGAGUAAGACGUCUUCCUGGUUUGUCAUGUGACGCCAUGUGGCCCAAAAAAAAAGAUUUCCCAUAGACUCAAAUCGGGAAAGAGACUUUUGUAACUAAGAGGGUCUUUUUCUCUUCCCAGCAUGGACCCUUGAUCUGAAUCAUUGCAGAGAUUUCAUCCUUCUUCCAUUGGACUCUGAACCUGAAGCCCUUCAUACAUCCGGGAUCCGUCCUGCAGGCUCAUGUUCAUUUAUCUAUAGAAAAGCUUUCUGCACCAAUGAAGGAAGGAAAUAUUCUGUGUUUUAAUGAACUAAAGAGUACUUGUGGUAAAUGCUGGUCGUACCACUGAUGGCAGGGGGAGGAGACUCGGUCGCCGGGGUAAUACUCCUUUCCUUUCCACAGACACGGACAGGAAGCAGCUUCGAAGCACUCGUCUCCAUGUUUCAGCAGGCUGCAGACACACACACACACACACACACACAAAUGAAGAGCUGCUUCAUCUAGAAAAAGGAGCUGGGAUUUGGUGGAUUGAGUUGAAUUAUUUCUUCUUAGACAUCCAUGAGAUUCCUUCAGUUUGGCUUCACCUUCUUAACUUAUAACAUUUACCCAGAUGCCCAAAAGUAUAUGACGUUUAUUCAUCUACUAACACACUCCUAACUGGAUCAACAAUAAGAGAGUCCUUCUGCACUCGGGGUCCACUCAGUCCUGAUAAACAUAUAACGCAGUAAUAAAUAAUACAUUGGGACGGCAUUCAUUCCAGCAGGGUUAUCAUCAGGCAUCAUCCUCCAUUCUAUCCGCCCCGAUGAUCCCACGUCUUUGUGAUCAGCUGAUUGGGCCGAUGAGCGACAUCAUCAAUGAAGCGGCGCGGGCCGGUUGUGAUCAUCGUUUCUUGUGUUUCGGCGACCCAACGAGGGAAGCGUCCUCAGAGGCCGAGCCGCAGCAGACACACCGUUAGCUACAUGAGAACACCAGACGAUUAGGAUUCUCAGAGAUAGAGGGAGAGACGCCCUUUGUUGCCCGGGACGGGGGCUGAUAAGUAUCUUGUAGUAUCCCGGGUCGAGAGCCACAGACCUCGGGCUCCGAUGAAACCGCGUUAACAGCGUCCUUUGUGCGGCCGCCAAACCGCCGUAUCGAUUACUCCGAUCAAAGGUCCCACAGAGGCAGCGGCGCAUCGCGAUACAUCCCCAUCAACCCGGGAUUUAAUCCCAGCAGAGGAUUGUAAAAAGGUGGCGGGUCACUUCUUCAAAUCAAACCCAUAGGAGCCGUCACAUACUUCUAAUAAAACACUUUCAGGGUGAGUCUUCUGCUCUUCUCCAACACAGCACGGCGUUCCUUUAGUAACCGACUGUCCAUUUAGAGCAGGGGUCUCAAACUCGCGGCCCGCGGGCCAAUUGCGGCCCUCGGGACGAUAUUUUGUGGCUCCAUCCUUAAUAUGAAAGUGUAAUGUUAGUGCGGCCCGCAAGUUUUAUACUGUAACCCCACUGUCAGCUGCUGUGUGGGACAUGUUAUGAUGUUCUGGUUUCCUACUGUGUGCUUGUCCAGUGAACGUGGCAUGCAUGUGACUGACAUGGGGGGCGGGUCGUGUGUGUCGGCCGAGGUGCAGAGAGCAGGAGGGUGAAAUUCAGUUUCCUGCCCUCUUUCGCGCAGGUGAUCAUGUGACUAACCGUUAGCAUCGCUCGUUUAAUAAAGUUUUCCUUUACGACUCACACUAACAACACAAGAAGCAUCUGACGUCACCGACGAGCGUCUCCGUCCAUUACUACGCAGCUUCGAUUCACGUAACUUCACGUUUGGCUAUAAAGGAAUUCCACGGUCACAUGACCUUAGGUCUCCCCCGCUGAGUUAAAGGAGGACUAGUGUUGUAGUCUCAUUGGGACCGAUCCCCCAGGGUGGGGUUCAAUGACUGCUUUUGAAAGUGAGUGUUAAGUUGUGUUAUUGUCGACCAUGCCGUUCGGACGCUAGUUCGGACGCUAGUCCGGCCCGCGUUCGGUUGAAGUGGGCUGCAUCUGGCCCGCAGCUGAUUUGAGUUUGAGACCCCUGAUUUAGAGUCAAACAGACUUCAGGGCGGGGCUACACUUUGAUUGACAGGUCUCUAACGCGCAGGAGAAGCAUAUAUUUUGCGCAGAUAUCUUAAUUUACAUAUAAUACUGGGUAUAUUCCAUGUUUCAACAACACAAAUAGAAACAGAUUGACUAUUUGUAAAAUGUAUUUUUAAUAUAAUUUUUUUUUUUUGGCUCAAGGUGGGCCACGCCCCAUUGCCCUCUAUAGACCUGCCGCCACUGGGGCGGGGCUACAGGCUGAUUGACAGGUCUCUAACAGACCACACAGCAGGGAGUGCUUUAGGGCGGGGCUACACGCUGAUUGACGGGUCUCUAACAGACCAUACAGCAGGGGGUGCUUUAGGGCGGGGCUACACGCUGAUUGACAGGUCUCUAACAGACCACACAGCAGGGGGAGCUCACACGUCCUGCUUCUGCUCCGUGUCGUGAUAACGUCAUUGUCACGUAAGCUCCGCCCCGAAAAGAGACCAAACUCCCGCUUUGUUCGAUCGCCGGAUAUUAACGGCUAUUUCACACAAUGGAGCCGAGACAACUAUCGACUGACUUGAAACAUCGGCGCUGAUCUGAGCCCUCGUUAUCCCCCGUUUCAGACAUGAGAACCUUUGGAGCGAUGACCCGUCGCUGCUCGUAUCAAUACAGCCGUCAUCAGCCCGCUGAAUGACUUCUCUUUGUCUCCGUGUUUAGCACAGAAUGAGCUCACAAGCUCUCGGGUUCCAGGCUGCAAACCGACGUGGUCUCGUCCCCAGCAAAGGUCGUCCCGCUUCACCAGAAGUGAAUCACAGACGAGAGUCUCACAUUUCCUCCGGUUCAACGAUCGCAAUCCGCACAGAUGCGUCAUAAGCCGCGAUGCGCCUUGUUGAUAUUGUCACGAGGACGACGCUCGCUUUAAGUCACAGAGUGAAACCGCUUGACCCUCCAUUCAGAAGGGAUUACGGGGAUCAGAUGACGGUCAUCGACUCGGGAUGUCUGUGCAGCUCAUCGGCCGGUUGGGAGGACGUCCGUCUCCCACCGAGCAUCAAAGACUCCUCAAACGUCCUCAACAGCACCGCAAGAAAACUAAGUCCACUUUCAACAACGCACAACCUCCAAUGACAACAGAGCAGAGUGAAGAUCCUCACCCGGGGGGGCAGGUGCAUCCGGCCACGCAGGGCUCGUGCGACGAGCAGGUGAGGUUCAGCAGGGAGGAUUCGCAGGUGCGCUCGCAGGCCACGCCCCUCGACAACAGGACGCCGUCGGCCCCCUCCGAGCAGUUCUGGUACCGCUGACCGGGGGGACACAACAUGUCUGUGGGAGGACGAGAAGAAGAAAGGCUUCAACAUAUUAACACCAAGUCUCAUUUUAGACUAUUAAGAAGAUCAAUCCGGCGACACAGAUGGAGGAUCAUGAGUGACGUGACGUUUGGUUGAAGCGACUCACCGCUGUCUGACGUCUGCGACACCAGUUUGCCGUCCAGACAGAGUCUGUGAGGACACACAGAGCGAUGAAGCUUAAUGCAGGGAACACGACAGCAAACCUCCCAUCGGAAACAUCGAACUGUGGACAUUUUGAAUUAGAAUUGUUUGGACGCAGAAUAAAGUGGAUCAUUGGUGUGUGAAGGCCUCAUCUGAUCGUCCGAGUGUUUGUCUCAUCGUCCUGACCCUGAAGCUACGGCGAGAAUGGUGCUUUUCACGCGUAUAGGUGGACAGAGACGGGGGGGGCGGAGCUUACUGAACACCUGCUGACGUCAUGAUCACAUCUCCUGGUUCGUAAUCCGCUCCGAGGAAACUGCAGGGACACUCGCUCCUGAAGGAGAUGACAACUGUAAAUAAUAAUAAGCACCAGUAAACAAAGCACAGGAGACGAUGUAAUGCUGCUGGACCCGGAGCGAGUGCAACAUGAUGCUCCUCACAGGCCGCUCAGGGUCUCUGUAACCGCAGCGUUAACGCACGCUGGCGAGCUUCUGCUUCCGUUCCACUGUGUCUGCAGCAGAAACACAAAGCGCCUGGAUGAUCAUUUCUAGAGCCAUCAGCGGGUGCCUGCGUUAGCGUGCCGGCCAGCGCCACACAUCGGCCUCUGUGCCGGUCAUCAGAUAUCUGUGGCGUCCCCGGGCCCCCGAGCCGCGGGAAUGAAAGGGGGGUUUUCACGGUGAAUUCCUCCGGCGUAACUCUAUCGCGUAGUAAGUGAGGCACAAGGAUGUUAAAACACACACACACUCAAAAGAAAGCCGGGACAUUUAAGAGGAACGAAUGUCGGCCGAAAGCAUCCGACACACAGCAGACAAAUAUCGCUGAGAGGAGGAUUUUUAGUGACGCUCGGCAUUCAGGUCCAAGAAACACGACGGCGUCUCUCUGCUUGUGUUGCAGAAUUAAAAAAGGGAUUUCUCCCCCGUCCCCCGCCCCCCCCCGUCCCCCCUCACCUGUGCACGCAGGUGUGCGUCCGGUGGUUGUAGAAGGACUCCGGCGGGCAGACGCAGCCCUCUUCGCACUCCCCCCCGCAGCGAGGCGGGACGGAGAGGGCGGAGCAACGCCGCUGGCAGGACGACACGCAGGUGCCGUACUGCAUGGUGGCGGGACAGGUGACCGCUGGGGGGGGGGAGACGGUUCGAUUCCACGUCAGAGCGGUUUGAGUUCACAACAUAGAGGACGUGUUCAUUAAUGGACACCCGGAUGUUCCCUAUGAGGCUCUUUUUAAUACCUGCUUCCCACCGCCAGGUCAUAAUAUAACCAGGUGAUCGGCUGAACCACCUGUCAAUCAAACUUCAUCCCAAGUGAACCGUUACUCACCGCAGUCGGGUAUCUGCGACCGGAAGUCCACCACGACGGAGAAGCGGCGGCAGUGGCGCGCGUAGUGGGCCAGCGCCGAGCACAGGCAGGGCGUCCCGCACCGGCACGUGUCCGAGCGGCACUGCUGGUGGAAGGUCGCCGGGCUGAGGUGCUGGUGGCAGGCGGAGAACAGGUCCUGGUUCAGCACGUCGCACAUCUCCCAGGCGUAGGCCGCUGGGGCGGACAAAUCCACGGUAAAUGCACAUUUUCAGAUUUCGUGUAAUAGUUCAUGAACAACGCGGGAAAUGUCGAACGUGGAACGCGCGGCGGGCGGAAGCGGGACCGACCGGCCUGCUGGUGAGCGUCACACGGGUCCAGCUGGGGAGGACUGAGGCUGCUGGAGCACGCCGACGAGACCCUCCAGGCGUUCCCAAAGAGCUGAGGAGUGCUUUCUAUCAUCCCGGACGGAGACCUGCAGAGACCCGGAGCUCAGCGACCGUUUAGAUGUACGUGCACACGUUGUUUCAGCUUCUAAAUGCGUCUAAAAUAACUGGCACCCCACAUGACUCAACUACUACGAGUCAUCAUUUAACCGCUCUGGAGAUCUUUUGCCAAAGUGAGCGACCCCCGUCGGUCAGCGACUGAGAUGGAGAUCCAUUUACAGCUGUUAGGACCACAUCCGCCCUUCGUACAGUGGAGCCCCUAUUCCACCAACACUUCCCUCCUUGUUGAAGUGGCGAGUCCAGUUGGGCGCUCACCUGGCCCAAAAGAGCUGCUCAGAGAGCGAAGGCUUUUGAUGCCAGCCGCCGCCGAGCCCGUGUGCAUUACAGAGGGAGGGAGGGAGGGCACUUCACCGUCACCUCCCUCUCUUUUGAAACAGAAUCUCUCUCUACUUUAUCGUUGGAGGUGAGAGGGGCAAUGGGGGGGGGGUGGAGGGGUUAGGGGAGAGGUCAGAGGUCGCCCACACUCACAGAAAGUCGUCCUGAAUGUUGCCGUUGAAGGUGCCGCACAGCCCCGCGGUGUCGUCCUUCCACGGCGCGUCGGCCUGCAGGUAGACGCGGAACUGGGCCCAGCCGUACUGCAGACGCAGGCCGAAGGCCGUCCUCACCUGCAGGAACAUGGACGACAGCUCCUGGAUGUGGAAGAGGUCUGCAGAGGGAACAGCGUUCGUCACAACAAAACAGUGAUGGAGCGAUGCAAUGACAGGGCAACGACGGGGAGAGGAGGCCAUACCGUCAGAGUACGGCAGGGAGACCCGGUACUGUCCGGCCAGGAAGACCUCGCCCAAGUGACUCAACGUAACCUCCGUUCUCGGAUCCUCGUCAAUGACCAGGUUGACCGAUUGGAUGCAGGAACCGUCCAAGUUCUGCAAAUGAGAGGAGACGGCUCGAUGGAGGGUGGUGGACAAGAGGACUCACAGUGAGGGGGAGGUAAUGGGCCGGGAGAGAGAGAGAGAGAGAGAAUAGGAAAGUAGGUAAAAAGAUUUUACUCUGAAACCCUAAAAGCGUUGGUAGAAAAGUUCUGUGUUCAGGCCGCUGAAUAGUACGAGACCUCAUUAGCGGCCCCUCAAGUCUAAAAUGUGCAAAACAACCAUAGAAAUAAAUCAGGCGGCAGGAGGAUGGUUUGAGAGGCGGCCAUUUUUUUUUACCGUCACCAACUGCUGAAUGAACUAAACCGACUUACAGGUCGUGGACUGACGAUACAAGCUAGCUAGCUAGCUAGCAGGCUAACAGCCGUG